rnacentral:misc_RNA from 1 species
UCUCCGUAGGUGAACCUGCGGAGGGAUCAUUACAAGUGACCCCCGGCUCCGGCCGGGGAUGUUCAUAACCCUUUGUUGUCCGACUCUGUUGCCUCCGGGGCGACCCUGCCUUUUCACGGGCGGGGGCCCCGGGUGGACACAUCAAAACUCUUGCGUAACUUUGCAGUCUGAGUAAAUUUAAUUAAUAAAUUAAAACUUUCAACAACGGAUCUCUUGGUUCUG